AGAGUGUGCGAAACACGGGACGCUGCUGCAGCUGCACGUGUCCCCGCCCCGGUUAUUGUCCUCUCUUUAUGAAACCCCCGAUCUCACCGCGCUCUCCUGUUCGGUUUGGCACCUUCUCCCCCUUUUCCUCGCCCUCGGCUCCUGCCUCUUGGCCCCUCCUGGAGUUUCAGCCCAAUGUCAGCCCUCCCCCUUUCACGUUGCUCGCACUUGCCUCCUCUUCCCUCGCACGUGUCGCACACCUGCUGCCCGUCCUUUCCCCUGCCUUGUGCCGGUGUCAUCCUUUCCUUCGACCCUUGGUCCUCCCAAGAUGGUGUUGCUCACGGCGUGUCCCGGCUGUGGCCGUGCCUGAGGCUGCUGGCGCUGCUUCGGUUCGCGCCGGCGCGGGUGGCAGAGGUGGCGUCUCCCCAGGGGGAGGUCGCGGGUCGGGGGUGUCUGGUGCCAGGUGCCCAGGGUGGACCCUGUCUGGGGGGUGCAGAGCUGAGGCCGGAGCCCUUUUCUUCCCUCUCGUGGGCAGGAGAUGUCUCGGAGGUAGCCUGAAGUUGGCGGCGUCUCAGCGGAGGUAGGAAGGAAGGGGAAAUGCGAGGGGCUUUGUCGCAUGGAGCAGAACGGGCUCAGCGCAGCGUCGGAGAGUCGCUGGGAAGCAGCGUCCCACGGUUGCUGUCCUCAACUUUUGUGAACCUCUUGCACCGGCCAGUACCCCUCGUUGUCUGCUCGAAAACCGCACUGCUUCUUUCCAACGCCGUACAGUCGCCCAGCGGAGUCCACCCUGCUCCUGCAAGGCACGUCCACCUCCACUGCGCUACGCGCUGGCUGCAGGUCGGAGUAGCAGGAUGAGUGCCGUGUGAGCCUGCAGCUCUCUUUUCUUUCAUAGCAGCAACACGAGGCCAGGCAUGCUGUCCCCCACAGUUAUAAGCAGUGUGCCUAUAUAUAUCUCUGUCUCUGUAUACAUAUAAAGCUCUGUAUAUCUCUAUGUAGGCAUAUGCAUAGAGCUCUCUCUGUCUAUCACUAUAUAUCUCUAUCUCCAUUUCUA